rnacentral:rRNA from 1 species
UAAGACGGAGGUGGCGAGCGUUGCUCGGAUUCAUUGGGUGUAAAGGGUCUGUAGGCGGUCCUGUAAGUCAGAUGUGAAAUCCCACCGCUCAACGGUGGAACUGCAUUUGAAACUGCAAGACUUGAGUGCGGUAGAGGUGAGGGGAAUUCCCGGUGUAAGAGUGAAAUCUGUAGAGAUCGGGAGGAACACCUGUGGCGAAGGCGCCUCACUGGGCCGCAACUGACGCUGAGCGACGAAAGCUAGGGUAGCGAACAGGAUUAGAUACCCUGGUAGUCCUAGCCGUAAACGAUGAGGACUAGGUGUCGGUUCGCAAGGAUCGGUGCCGAAGUUAACACAUUAAGUCCUCCACCUGGGGAGUACGUCCGCAAGGAUG